ensembl:lncRNA
CUUUGAGCUAUUCGUUCAACCAAUAUUUAUGAAGUGCCUCGUAGGUGCCAGGAACUAUGCCACAUGUUAUGGAGACAACGUCAUAAUUAUCACUGUCAUCAUUGGCAUCUUUGGUCAGCAACAAACAGCAGAGUCGAGAGAUGGCCUGGGGGGAGGGGCGCUACAGCUACACUCACGGUUAUACCAACUCCCUCCAGGCUGUCCAAAUAAAUAUUUAUACGAGCUACGCUAGAAUGCUAACAUGCUUGCUAAAUCAGCAUGAUUUCAAGGCAAGUUUCCCAAUCUCCCUCGUCACUGGUGACCCUGAGCCCUCAGAUAGAGAAAUUUUGAGACGUCACCAGUAGCAGCAAUUUCUCCGGCCUCUUCCUUACUCCCUCUGUCUCCCCUACACCUCUUUCACCAGCUCCAGUCCCCGGGGAUGCCUUUUACUCACCAUUUCAGGCUGUGACUCUAUUGGACAGUCAACUCCACUCUUGAUGUGACUGCCAUGGCAGGAAUGCUUCUGUGCACCCAGCCUGCAGAGGGUGGCACGCUGGCCUGGGCUGACAUGGACGCACCAAACUCAAGUGUUUCUGGUGCCUACUAGUCCAGGAUGGGAGAUGUUGUGAUUGAAUUGUGUCCUCCUCAAAUUCAUAUGUUGACGUCCUAACCCCCAGUACCUCAGGAUGUGAACUCACUUGGAAAUAGGGUCAUAACAGAUGUAAUUAGUGAUGUUAAAAUGAAGUCAUACUGGAAUGGGUCGAUGUGACUAAUGUCCUUAUAAAAAGGGGAAGUUUGGGCACAGUCCCACAUACACAGGGAGUACACAAGUGAAGAUGAAGGCAGAGAUCGGAGUGAUGCUUCAGUAAGCCAAGGAACAGCAAAGAUUGCCAGGAAACCACCAGAAGCCAGCGGGGAGGCCUGGAGCAGAUUCUUCCUCACAGCCCUCAGAAGGAACCAGCCCCAGGGACAGCUUGAUCUCAGACUUCCAGACUUCUGAACUGAGACAAUUUCUUUGCUUAAGCCACUCAGUUUAUGGAAAGCAUCAAACCUUUCCCAGGCUGAAAUAUGGAAAAUCUGCAGGGAGCAUCUCAGCAGGAGAGGAAUUUCAUUAGAACGAGCACAUCAUAAUCCAGCGACUUCUGCUCUCCCCCUAAGCCUCCCUAUUGAUAAGGCGUCCGAGGCGAUUUUUAUGGAUUUGCAAAGAGAAAUGAUUUCAUAAGAUCCUUUCAGAGAGGUUGCUUUGGUCCGGGCCUUUGAAUUAUUUUCUGCUCGCUGAUGAAAAAAUUUUCAGACAUUUGGCUUAACUGUGACUGCUGGCUAGGAGGCUGGCCUGGAGGAGAGGCGCGCAGCCUCAGCCACAGACAACGCUUUCUGCAGUCACAGAGGAUCUGACUGGACGGUUUCCCGGGUCUCUGAGGAGUGACACACUGUUACUACCUGCGCUUUGAAUGACCUGUUGGAAGAAGGCAAGAAGCAGGCUUCUAAAGGAAUUAGAUCGACAACCACACAAUCUGCCAACUUUCAAAGGUGUCAAUCCAGUUCAGAAAAAGCUCAGCUGCCCUCGUCGGGGUCCGGGGAGGGAACCGGAGGCCACUGAGGGAAGCAAUGGAUUGAUGGGUUUUUAAAGUACACUUCUGUCCUCAGCCUCCUCCCCCAACUCAACUUCUGCAUUCUCUUGUUAAAUAUUUUAUGGGGAAGAAAAGAAAGCCUCAAUUUCCCCACCUGUGAAAUGAUGACAAUGAUAGCACUACAGAAGUGACGGAAGGUGCUGUGCAUAUUAAAGGAG